rnacentral:sRNA from 1 species
GUCUUUGGUAAACUUUGAGCAGUCUUUGGAAACUUCCAGCUGGUCAAAGAGAUUGCCGAUGAAGACCCCAGCCACGUGAACUUGGUCAAUGGGGACGGGGCGACGCCACUGAUGUUAGCAGCUGUUACGGGGCAGCUGGCUCUGGUGCAGCUACUGGUGGAGAGGCACGCGGAUGUUGACAAGCAGGACAGCGUGCAUGGCUGGACGGCCCUCAUGCAGGCAACCUACCAUGGGAAUAAGGAAAUUGUUAAAUAUCUGCUAAACCAAGGGGCCGAUGUCACUCUUCGUGCAAAAAAUGGAUACACAGCCUUUGACCUGGUGAUGCUGCUGAAUGAUCCUGACACGGAACUUGUUCGACUGCUGGCAUCUGUCUGCAUGCAGGUGAAUAAAGACAAAGGCCGGCCGAGCCACCAGCCGCCCCUGCCCCACUCGAAGGUCCGACAGCCCUGGAGCAUCCCAGUGCUGCCCGAUGACAAGGGUGGGCUGAAGUCCUGGUGGAACCGAAUGUCCAAUCGGUUCCGAAAGCUCAAACUGACGCAGACGCUGCCCCGUGGGCUGUCCAGCAACCAGCCUUUGCCUUUCUCUGAUGAGCCUGAGCCAGCUCUGGACUCCACAAUGAGGGCUGCCCCCCGGGACAAGACAAGCCGCUCUGCACUCCCUGAUGUAGCCCCUGUGACCAAAGACAAUGGUCCUGGGAGCACAAGAGGAGAAAAGGAAGACACGUUAUUGACAACCAUGCUUCGAAACGGAGCUCCCCUCACCAGACUCCCGAGUGACAAGCUGAAAGCAGUCAUCCCCCCAUUCCUACCCCCUUCCAGUUUUGAGCUGUGGAGCUCUGAUCGGUCCCGGACACGUCACAAUGGGAAGGCAGACCCCAUGAAGACUGUGCUGCCCCAGAGAGCCAGUAGGGGCCACCCCGUGGGCGGCGGGGGCACAGACACUACACCAAUCAGGCCUGUUAAAUUUCCAAGCCUCUCCAGAAGCCCAGCCUCUCCUGCCAAUUCUGGAAACUUCAACCACUCGCCUCAUUCAUCGGGCGGCUCCAGUGGGGUAGGUGUGAGCCGGCACGGUGGGGAGCUGCUUAACCGCUCAGGUGGCAGCAUAGACAAUGUCUUGUCCCAAAUCGCUGCCCAGAGGAAAAAAGCAGCCGGAUUAUCGGAGCAGAAACCCAGCCAUCGGUCAGGCCCUGUGGGGCCAGCACCGGGGUCCAGCCCGUCUGAGCUUCCAGCCUCCCCUGCAGGUGGCAGCGCUCCCGUUGGCAAGAAAUUGGAGACCAGCAAAAGGCCUCCGUCUGGAACUUCCACUACCUCCAAGAGCACCUCUCCAACCCUCACGCCCUCCCCCUCACCCAAAGGGCACACUGCGGAGUCCUCAGUGUCUUCCUCGUCAUCCCAUCGGCAGUCCAAGAGCAGCGGGGGCUCCAGCAGUGGCACCAUCACAGAUGAGGAUGAACUGACCGGAAUCCUUAAGAAAUUAUCACUUGAGAAAUAUCAGCCCAUUUUUGAGGAACAAGAGUCUGUCUCUGUCUCGUGCAUGGUGGGGGAGAUGAGGUGGACAUGGAAGCGUUCCUCACGCUGACUGACGGUGACUUGAAGGAGCUGGGAAUUAAGACAGAUGGGUCCAGGCAGCAGAUUCUGGCAGCAAUUUCUGAACUCAAUGCAGGCAAGGGACGCGAGAGACAAAUUUUACAGGAAACCAUUCACAACUUUCACUCUUCCUUUGAGAGCAGUGCCAGCAACACCAGGGCCCCUGGCAACAGCCCCUCCAUGGCUGGGUGGGUGAGGCCAGAAGAAACUGCCUCCGGCAAGAGGUAGCAGCCGCUGAGGUGGCUCUGCUGGCAUCGGAGCCCACAGAAGUGAGGAGUGGCCGAUGGACCUGCCCUCCAAAUGUGCCUGACUCUGGGUCUUGCUGUCAUUGGAUUUCCCGGUAUGGUAGACAGAAAGAUAGUUUGACCAAGUCGUAGAAGCUGAUCCAGCGGGUAAAAAGGGGGCAGGGAACCCGUCUCUUUUGUUCUUGCCUCGGAGCUGCCUGAAGACAUGGGCCAGGCCAGAGGCUGGACAACUUUGGACAGAUAUGCUGACCUGUGCUUCCAAGUAAAUGCCUCCUGAAGAGCCCGGGACCCUUCCUGGGAGAAUUCUGCAGCCAGAAUGAAGGUGCCGUCAGCAGGAGGCACUGUGAAGCACCAUCCUGUCGCUGUCCUUGUCCAUUCCUAGCAAGUUAAUUGUGUCUUGUUAACCAGCAGUUCCCGUUCAACGUGUAAAGAGACCUGAUGUUUUCCCUAAUAAAGCCGAUACCAGAUUUUGC